AUUGAACGCUGGCGGCAGGCCUAACACAUGCAAGUCGAACGAGUGGCGGACGGGUGAGUAAUGUCUGGGAAACUGCCUGAUGGAGGGGGAUAACUACUGGAAACGGUAGCUAAUACCGCAUACCAUCGGAUGUGCCCAGAUGGGAUUAGCUAGUAGGUGGGGUAAAGGCUCACAUGGGCGACGAUCCCGAGCUGGUCGGAGAGGAUGACCAGCCAAAUGGGAACUGCGACACGGUCCAGACUCCUACGGGAGGCAGCAGUGGGGAAUAUUGCACAAUGGGCGCAAGCCUGAUGCAGCCAUGCCGCGUGUAUGAAGAAGGCCUUCGGGUUGUAAAGUACUUGCAGCGGGGAGGCGUUACCCGCAGAAGAAGCACCGGCUAACUCCGUGCCAGCAGCCGCGGUAAUAC
rnacentral:rRNA from 1 species